rfam:Ornithorhynchus anatinus chromosome 1, whole genome shotgun sequence.
AGCAGUGUGGCUUAGUGGAAAGAGCACGGGCUUGUGAGUCAGAGGUCGUGGGUUCUAAUCCCAUCUCUACCA